AUAUUUACUGUGCAAUUCAGUUUAAUUUGAUGCUUUAUAUCUUACUUUGUUUAUUAUUAUUGAUUAG
rnacentral:tRNA from 1 species